UACGUAGGGGGCAGGCGUUGUCCGGAUUUAUUGGGCGUAAAGAGCUCGUAGGUGGUUCGGUAAGUCGGAUGUGAAAUUUCCAGGCUCAACCUGGAGGGGUCAUUCGAUACUGCCGUGACUAGAGUUCGGUAGGGGAGUGUGGAAUUCCUGGUGGAGCGGUGAAAUGCGCAGAUAUCAGGAGGAACACCCGUAGCGAAGGCGGCACUCUGGGCCGAUACUGACACUGAGGAGCGAAAGCGUGGGGAGCGAACAGG
rnacentral:rRNA from 1 species